rnacentral:rRNA from 1 species
AUUGAACGCUGGCGGCGUGCCUAACACAUGCAAGUCGAGCGGUAACAGGUGUAGCAAUACAUGCUGACGAGCGGCGGACGGGUGAGUAACGCUUGGGAAUCUGCCUAUUAGUGGGGGACAACCCGGGGAAACUCGGGCUAAUACCGCAUACGCACUACGGUGGAAAGCCGGGGACCGCAAGGCCUGGCGCUAACAGAUGAGCCCAAGUCGGAUUAGCUAGUUGGUAGGGUAACGGCCACCAAGGCGACGAUCCGUAACUGGUCUGAGAGGACGACCAGUCACACCGGAACUGAGACACGGUCCGGACUCCUACGGGAGGCAGCAGUGGGGAAUAUUGGACAAUGGGCGAAAGCCUGAUCCAGCGACGCCGCGUGGGUGAAGAAGGCCUGCGGGUUGUAAAGCCCUUUUCAGUGGGGAAGAAAAGCCUCGAGCUAAUAUCUCGGGGU